rnacentral:rRNA from 1 species
GUGUCAGCAGCCGCGGUAAUACGUACCGGACAAACGUUAUUCGGAAUCACUGGGCUUAAAGAGUUCGUAGGCGGCUUUGCAGGUGAGGUGUGAAAUCCCACGGCUCAACCGUGGAAUUGCGCUUCAAACCGCAAAGCUUGAGGGAGACAGGGGUGAGUGGAACUGAUGGUGGAGCGGUGAAAUGCGUUGAUAUCAUCAGGAACACCAGUGGCGAAGGCGACUCACUGGGUCUCUUCUGACGCUGAGGAACGAAAGCUAGGGGAGCAAACGGGAUUAGAUACCCCGGUAGUCCUAGCUGUAAACGAUGAGCACUAGAUCGUGGGGGCUUCCACACCCUCUCGGUCGUAGCGAAAGUGUUAAGUGCUCCGCCUGGGGAGUAUGGUCGCAAGGCUGAA